GCCAGCAGCCAUAUCACCCUGCAACUCACAACUGGCAGCCCACUGAAGCUAAGCAGAUGUGAGCCUGGUUAGUACCUGGAUGGGAGAGCUCCUGGGAAAAACUAAGGUUGCUGCUGGAA
rnacentral:rRNA from 1 species